AUUGAGAAUGUUUGUCACCUCAAGGAUCUCCUUGGGCGGGCAGACAGAAGGGGAAGAAUUUAUAUGUCCUAAGCUGCUGUGUGCCAGGGUUCCCCAAGGCACAAGACCCCCAACAGCUGACAUAACCAUCCUUGAUUUACAGGAAAGGGAGUGUUAACCUCCAUGUAUUAAUUAAUUUGACCAAGACCCCUAAGGAACAAAGGCUCCUCUAAUAAGAAGAAUGGUUGUGACUCAUGUCCCUUUCACAAAUACCUUUCCCUAUGGGUACCCCUUCUCCGGGCAGCAAAGGCUUCUGCAGCUGGGGACCAGGACACAAGAAUGAAGUGAAGAACUGAAAUGCUAAGUUAACUAAAGAGCUAGAAGGUUCGAAUGUACUUAUUCUAUGCUACAGCCUAACAAGAACACUUCACAAAUGA